rnacentral:rRNA from 1 species
UACAGAGGGAGCAAGCGUUGUUCGGAAUUACUGGGCGUAAAGGGCGCGUAGGCGGUUCGAUAAGUCCCGUGUGAAAUCCCUCGGCUCAACUGAGGAACUGCACGGGAAACUGACGGGCUUGAGUUCGGGAGAGGGAAGCGGAAUUCCGGGUGUAGCGGUGAAAUGCGUAGAUAUCCGGAGGAACACCGGUGGCGAAGGCGGCUUCCUGGACCGACACUGACGCUGAGGCGCGAAAGCUAGGGGAGCAAACGGG